rnacentral:rRNA from 1 species
AACACAUACAAGUUGAAGGAGAAGUUCAUCUUCGGAUGGAUGGAGACUGGCGCACGGGUGAGUAACGCGUAGACAACCUGCCUAUAACAGGGGGAUAACCACCGGAAACGGUGGCUAAUACCGCAUGAUGCAGCGGGGCCGCAUGGCCACAGUUGUUAAAGCCUUCGGGCGGUUAUGGAUGGGUCUGCGUGCUAUUAGCUAGUUGGUAAGGUAACGGCUUACCAAGGCGAUGAUAGCUAGGGGGUCUGAGAGGAUGAUCCCCCACACUGGGACUGAGACACGGCCCAGACUCCUACGGGAGGCAGCAGUGAGGAAUCUUGCGCAAUGGGGGAAACCCUGACGCAGCCACGCCGC